GACGAACGCUGGCGGCGUGCCUAACACAUGCAAGUCGAACGGAGAUUCUAGCAAUAGAAUCUUAGUGGCGAACGGGUGAGUAACGCGUAGACAACCUACCUCCUAGAUGGGGACAACACUGCGAAAGUGGUGCUAAUACCGAAUGUUGUAUCUUGAUUGCAUAACCGAGAUACUAAAGAUGGCCUCUAUUUAUAAGCUAUCGCUAGAAGAUGGGUCUGCGUCUGAUUAGCUAGUUGGUGAGGUAAUGGCUCACCAAGGCGACGAUCAGUAGCCGGUCUGGGGGGAUGAACGGCCACACUGGGACUGAGACACGGCCCAGACUCCUACGGGAGGCAGCAGUGGGGAAUCUUCCGCAAUGGACGAAAGUCUGACGGAGCAACGCCGCGUGAGUGAAGAAGGUUUUCGGAUCGUAAAACUCUGUUUUCAGGGACGAAUGUACAGAACGUGAAUAAUGUUUUGUAAUGACGGUACCUGAGUAGAAAGCCACGGCUAACUACGUGCCAGCCGCCGCCGUAAUAC
rnacentral:rRNA from 1 species